rnacentral:rRNA from 1 species
CUAAUUUGCUGACGACCGGCGCACGGGUGAGUAACGCGUAUACAAUUUACCUUUUACAGGAGGAUAGCCCAGAGAAAUUUGGAUUAAUACUCCAUGGUAUUAUAGAAUCGCAUGGUUUUAUAAUUAAAGUUUCGGUGGUAAAAGAUGAGUAUGCGUCCUAUUAGCUAGUUGGUAAGGUAACGGCUUACCAAGGCGACGAUAGGUAGGGGUCCUGAGAGGGAGAUCCCCCACACUGGUACUGAGACACGGACCAGACUCCUACGGGAGGCAGCAGUGAGGAAUAUUGGUCAAUGGAGGCAACUCUGAACCAGCCAUGCCGCGUGCAGGAAGACUGCCCUAUGGGUUGUAAACUGCUUUUAUACAGGAAGAAACUUAUCCACGUGUGGAUAACUGACGGUACUGUACGAAUAAGGACCGGCUAACUCCGUGCCAGCAGCCGCGGUAAUACGGAGGGUCCAAGCGUUAUCCGGAAUCAUUGGGUUUAAAGGGUCCGUAGGCGGGCGAUUAAGUCAGAGGUGAAAUCCCACAGCUCAACUGUGGAACUGCCUUUGAUACUGGUUGUCUUGAGUUACAGUGAAGUAGAUAGAAUAUGUAGUGUAGCGGUGAAAUGCAUAGAUAUUACAUAGAAUACCGAUUGCGAAGGCAGUCUACUAACUGUUAACUGACGCUAAGGGACGAAAGCGU